rnacentral:rRNA from 1 species
GACGAACGCUGGCGGCGUGCUUAACACAUGCAAGUCGAACGGAAAGGCCCUGCUUGCAGGGUGCUCGAGUGGCGAACGGGUGAGUAACACGUGGGUGAUCUGCCCCUUACUUUGGGAUAAGCCUGGGAAACUGGGUCUAGUACUGGAUAGGACCAUGCUGUAGGUGGUGUGGUGGAAAGAUUAGUUUCGGUAAGGGAUGAGCUCGCGGCCUAUCAGCUUGUUGGUGGGGUAAUGGCCUACCAAGGCGUCGACGGGUAGCCGGCCUGAGAGGGUGGACGGCCACAUUGGGACUGAGAUACGGCCCAGACUCCUACGGGAGGUAGCAGUGGGGAAUAUUGCACAAUGGGCGCAAGCCUGAUGCAGCGACGCCGCGUGGGGGAUGACGGCCUUCGGGUUGUAAACUCCUUUCAGCCAUGGCGAAGCCCUUGUGGUGACGGUAGUGGUAGAAGAGGCACCGGCUAACUACGUG